GUGCCAGCAGCGCGGUAAUACGUAGGGUGCGAGCGUUAAUCGGAAUUACUGGGUGUAAAGGGAGCGUAGACGGUCCGGCAAGUCUGAUGUGAAAUCCCAGGGCUUAACCCUGGGACUGCAUUGGAAACUGUUGGACUAGAGUGCAGGAGAGGUAAGUGGAAUUCCUAGUGUAGCGGUGAAAUGCGUAGAUAUUAGGAGGAACACCAGUGGCGAAGGCGGCUUACUGGACUGUAACUGACGUUGAGGCUCGAAAGCGUGGGGAGCAAACAGG
rnacentral:rRNA from 1 species